GACGAACGCUGGCGGCGUGCUUAACACAUGCAAGUCGAACGGAAAGGCCCUGCUGUGGUUAGGUGCGUGAGGGACGAACGGGUAACACGCGGGUGAUUUGCCCUCCCUUUUGUGAUGGAUAUCGUCAGCUAGGUGGAGUUCAUACUGGAACUACGCGCUUCAUGCCUGGUGGUGGUAAGCAAUUGUGGGCGGUGUGGGAUGGACGCGCGGCUUAUCAGCUUGUUGGUGGGGUGCUGGCCUACCAAGGCGCCGACGGGUAGCCGGCCUGAGAGGGUGACCGGCCACACUGGGACUGAGAUACGGCCCAGACUCCUACGGGAGGCAGCAGUGGGGAAUAUUGCACAAUGGGCGCAAGCCUGAUGCAGCGACGCCGCGUGCGGGAUGACGGCCUUCGGGUUGUAAACCGCUUUCAGCUGAGACGAAGCGUAAGUGACGGUAUGUGCAGAAGAAGCACCGGCUAACUACGUG
rnacentral:rRNA from 1 species